ACAGAAUCUGCAGGAAUGCUAAGCACCCUCUCCCCCGCCACCCCACCACCACCACCUUCAGACUCAGGGGUCUGGGAUGGGGCCACGAAUCUGAAUUUUGUUAACAAGGGCUCUGGGUGGUUCUGACACAGUCAAAUCACAGACUCACAUUUUGGAACCACCAGACCGAGUGAUCUGUGCCCCAAAUCCUGGGAUUAUGGUCUCUGUCGAGAUUUACAGUUCUUGAGCACCCUCUCCAGUGCUGACUGACCCCUUCAUAGUCAUCUCUGUGUAUCCAGGUUCCCUUUUGUCUACACCAACCAAGCCCAGCUCUUCUGCUCUUUAGGCUGGCCGGCCACGUGGAAACUGAAGACCUACCCCAAGUCGCAUGAUCUGGACCAUCUCCAGGUAAAACCACAAUUUUGCGGUGGAACCCUGACUGUCACGGGGGGUCUCGGAACAGCCUGGAUGAGAGCUGACAGCUUCUCCGCUCGACGCUGACUCGGAAUUCCCAGAGCGCUCUCGCCACAGCUCCUGACCUGAACUGUACAGACCCAGAUUUCCUCACUUCCUAGCAGCCCAGCCUCCUUCCUCAGGAAGCCAGUGGAAUCAAGCUGACAAGGAUGUCCGCCGUCAGAUGGCUUUCUGCUGCACAUCUCAGGAGGAGGAAGCCAACCUGUAGCCUUCAGAGUACCCACAGCCCGAGGAGCCGCUGCACCACACUGCUGAGCGGGGCUGUAACAGACACCUGCCUCAGACAGGUCAGCGCUGAGGAA